AACGCGAAGAACCUUACCAGGAUUUGACAUGCCCUCUAUGAACUCUUGAAAGAGAGUUCUUCACUUCGGGUGGGAGGUGCACAGGUGCUGCAUGGCUGUCGUCAGCUCGUGUCGUGAGAUGUUGGGUUAAGUCCCGCAACGAGCGCAACCCUCGUCUCCUGUUGCCAUCAGGUCAAGCUGGGCACUCUGGAGAAACUGCCGGUGAUAAGCCGGAGGAAGGUGGGGAUGACGUCAAGUCCUCAUGGCCCUUACAUCCUGGGCUACACACGUGUUACAAUGCGCGCUACAGAGCGUUGCAAACCCGCGAGGGGGAGCUAAUCGCACAAAAGCGCGCUCAGUUCGGAUUGCAGUCUGCAACUCGACUGCAUGAAGCCGGAAUCGCUAGUAAUGGCGCAUCAGAACGGCGCCGUGAAUACGUUCCCGGGCCUUGUACACACCGACUGUAC
rnacentral:rRNA from 1 species